rnacentral:lncRNA from 1 species
GAACAAUUUGAACUUUGAACAAUUAAAGAGGCUUCAUUCAUCUCCUUGAUUUUAUUUUUGAAAUCAACAAUGUCAUUUUCCAAAAAAUUAUUUUCUUCCUUUAGCUUUUCAUUUUCACAAGUCAAUUUUUCAAAAUCUUUUUCUUUUAAUGAAGGUUGUUUUUCAAAAUCUUUUUCUUGCAAAGAAAGUGUUCUCUCAAAAUCUUUUUCUUGC